AAAAUGCUCCCGACUGCAGCACCGUUCUCCCUCUUAAGAGACGUUUCACAUUCUAAGCGAGCCGCGAAAUACACGUGUCAAGCCACUAGCGGAAAUCAUACUGCACCGAAAUAAUAUAAUAAUAUACUAUGGGGUUCUGUUCCAUGUGUAUGCUUCAUACAUUCUCCGCUUUGGUUUUAGCCAAUCAUGUGAGGUCGCGUCCACUGUAUUUCAAAAUCACGGGUCUGAUCGCUUGAAACAAGACGAGUGCAUUGGUAUUUGGAGCAUCGGAUUUUUUUUAGCAUAACUAACUUGAGUGUAACAGAGGGCAGCUUUUAUAGGGCACCUAUAAGAUGGCACCUCUGCAUGAAGAGAGAGAUCGAGAUAGAGAUGUACACACUUAAGAAAUCUUCAAUGGCAGUGUUGAUGCUGAGUCUGGAUAAUUCCAUCCGGCUUCAUUCUUGUUUCAUCAAAAGAUAGAAAGAUAAUUAAGAAAGUGAAGGUGAAUUUGGAAGAGAUCAGCGAAAGAUGAAGUUCGGAAAGCAUUUCAAGCAACAAAAGGUGCCAGAAUGGACUGGUGCUUAUAUGGAUUAUAAUGGUCUUAAAAGAAUAUUGGGAGAGAUCUUGCAGUACAAGCAAAGCAGGCAGCCCUCGACACCUUUGAGAGCAGCAAUGCAGCACAAAUUAACUUCGCAUAGACACUUCAGUGGACUAAACCCGCAAUCUACCAAUCUCUCCAGUAAAGGCGAUAUUGAGGACCAAGUUAUAGAUGUUAACGCGUCGCCUGAAGAGGGUUCUAGAAAGUUAUAUUAUAAGACUGAGUUCCUGAGGGAGUCUGAAGAAGGAGGCGAAAUAGAGGCGAAGUUCUUUAAGAAACUUGAUGAAGAACUCAACAACGUUAACACAUUUUACAAGGAUAAGUCCGAGGAGAUGAAGCAUGAAGCAUUUUUGCUGAAUAAGCAAAUGGAUGCCUUGAUUGCCUUGCGGAUCAAGGUGGAUAACCCUCAUUUUGACGGCUCUGAUGCGAGGAAAAGUGAUACAACUGGUGUCGCUACCACAAACCCCUUGAAGAGUCCAAGCAGAGAUACAACUUCAGGAGUGGAGGAUAUGAAUGUUGAACACGGAGUUGAGAUUAGUAACGAUUUUCAGCUGGAGAAAUCCUCUUAUGAACAGAGUGGAAGGGAGCAUAUGGAAUUGACCAGUGAACUGGAUAGAAGAACUGAUUGUAACCAAGAAGAGUCUACUCGUGGUCCAGAAGUAAUUGAAGUGCAAGCCAGAGAUCAUGGUAAUGCUCACCAAGAGAAGGACAACCUCACUGACUACAACGAAGAUCCUUUGAAAAUCCUUGAGCGCGUGAAGAUUAACAACACUUUUAAAUCUCCACUAGCAACCAUAAAAGGUGUCUUUAAGGACUCAAAAGAAGAAGAGCUGAGCUUCAAGAAAGAGGAACUGAAGAAAGUUGAAGAGCGACUGAGAGUUGCACUAAUCGAAUUCUACCAGAAACUUCUUCUUCUAAAGCACUACAGUUAUAUGAACCUUGCAGCAUUUUCAAAGAUCAUGAAGAAGUAUGAAAAGAUCUCAUCAAGGAGAGCUUCUAGAUCAUACAUGAAAACAUUGGACAACUCCUGCCUCGGCAACUCUGAUGAGGUGAAUGGUCUCCUUGAAAGGUUGGAGGCUACCUUCAUCAAGCAUUUUGCAAACUCAAAUCGGAGGGAAGGUAUGGACUCUUUGCGGCCAAAAGCAAAAAGGGAAAAGCACAGUGUAACAUUCUUUUCAGGAUUCUUUUCUGGUUGCUCAAUUGCACUUCUGAUUGCUGUUGUUUUGAGAAUACAAGCUCGAAAGCUUAUGGAUAAGGCUGAAGGUGCCUCAUACAUGGUCAACAUUUUCCCACUUUACAGCUUAUUUGCUUUUAUAGUCCUGCAUAUACUCAUUUAUUCGGCAAACAUAUACUUCUGGAGGCAGUAUCGGGUUAAUUACCCAUUUAUAUUUGGUUUCAAGCAAGGAACUGAGCUGGGACAUCGAGACGUUUUCCUUUUGGGCACUGGUCUUGCAGUACUUGCACUAUCCAGCUUCCUGGCAAAUUUACACUUGGAUUUGGGUUCUAAAGCUUCAAAUUACAAAACAAUCACCGAACUCGUUCCUUUGGGCUUAGUCACCGUUGUUCUUGCCAUCAUCUUCUGCCCUUUCAACAUCAUAUAUCGUUCAAGUCGUUUCUUCUUUGUUCAGUGUUUGUUCCGCUGUAUUUGUGCGCCGCUUUACAAGGUUAGACUUGCAGAUUUUUUCUUGGCAGACCACGUUACCAGCCAGGUCCAAGCAAUAAGAAGUAUCGAGUUGUACAUUUGCUAUUAUGGUUUAGGGGAAUACUCCAGGAGGCAAAACAAAUGUCAUAGCCAUGGUGCCUAUAAUGCUUUCUAUUUUGUUGUUGCUGUAGUACCAUUCUGGCUCCGCCUUCUGCAGUGUCUCCGUCGAUUGUGUGAAGAGAAAGAUGCAGUGCACGGAUAUAAUGGUUUGAAAUACUUCUUGACGAUUAUUGCAGUUCUAAUUAGAACCGCUUAUGAACUAAAAAAGGGAAGGACAUGGAUGGUAUUUGCAUUGAUCAGCUCAGCUGUUGCAGUAAUUGUGAACACAUACUGGGAUAUUGCAGUAGAUUGGGGGCUUUUGAGAAGAAAAUCAAAGAAUGCUUUUUUGAGAGACAAACUUGUGAUUUCACAUAAAAGUGUCUACUUUGCAGCUAUUAUAAUGAAUGUAGUUCUGAGGCUUGCUUGGAUGCAAUUGGUCAUAGAAUUUAAUUUGCAGAGUAUUCACAAAAUGGCCGCGUGAACUAUAAUUUCAUGCCUAGAGAUCAUCCGCCGCGGUAUUUGGAGCUUCUUCAGGUUGGAGAAUGAGCACUUGAACAACGUUGGAAAGUAUCGAGCAUUCAAGUCAGUCCCUCUUCCUUUCACUUACUACGAUACCGAUGGUGACAAGGAUGACUAAGCAUCAAAUACGACUUUAUUCUGUUGAUCAACAAGCAUGACUGAUCAUGAAGAUGAGCAAUCAUUGUAUUCGACAUUACUUCCAUGAGGAAAUGAUAUUGCUUUGAGGAUGAUGUGCACUGCCAACACCUUUUGAUUUCCUUGAUGGGGAAUGGUGCCUUUUCUAAAAUAAGCGGGAUUAAGCUACCCUAACCACAUAUACUCGCGGCAAUUUGAAGAAACAGUUCGCCUGAAAAGUGGUCAGGAUGAAAAAUUGUUUUUACAAAUUGAAAAGCAGUAAUUGAGUAGAUUUAUUAAUUUGUUCUUUAAGGCUCCUCGAGGAUAUGAAAAGGCUUCAGAGUUCAUCUUCUCUUGUGGUACACUUCAAAGAGCAAGAUAUGAAAAGGGUUCAAAGUUUAUCAAUGCCUUGAAGAAUCAUGACAUGAGAAUCUACUUCAACGAAUCUCUGAUUUGUUCUCUUGCUCGCAAUGGAUUAUCUCUCGAGCACUGGCGAAGGCAUUUUCAGAUGUUUAGAUUGAUUAGGAGGGUAUGCAAGGGAGAUGUAAAAGAGAGGACACGAAUUUGAAGAUGAGUGAAAAGUUACCGUAGCUAGCUGAAGGUUCGUGGAAAGAAGAGCCUUCAUGAUUUGAAUUUAUCAGAGCUUCCGUUUGUGGAAAAUCGACAAGUACCUUUGCAUGCGACUUGCUAAAUGUACUAUCCGUACAGUUUCCGACGCGGAAAGAAUUGGUCCACUUUUAUAUAAAAUGGAAAAAAUGUCAUUUUGACAAACAUGGAUGGCAUUGCUUUACAAUCUUGGACUUUAUUAAAAGUAAAUCAAAGAAUACGACCACACUUGCAGAAAGAUAAUCUACGCUCCAAACAGGUAUCGAAUCCAGACCUCUUUUUGUAACAUUUUUUCAAGAAAUGCAAUCUAGAUCCCUCUGCCACCGCUAGAGUUCUUUUCUUAUUUUGCUUCAUCUUGUUUUCUUCCUUGUCAAAUGUUGCAGCGUGGUUCAGUCAUCGCUGUCAUCAUCUUCUACGUAGUUGAAAGGUUGCAGCGUGGUUCAGUCAUCGCUGUCAUCAUCUUCUACGUAGUUGAAAGGUAAAGGCACAGACUUAAACGCGCGAUAUUUUCCUACGUUGUUCAAAUGUUCAUUUUCCAACCU